rnacentral:rRNA from 1 species
AGUGAACGCUGGCGGCAGGCCUAACACAUGCAAGUCGAACGGCAGCACCGGGAGCGCUUGCUCUUGCGGGUGGCGCGCGGCGGAAGGGUGACGUCUGCAUCGAAUUCCACUUUGACGCGGGAGAUAACGUAGGAAACGUUCCGAUAAUACCGCAUAUGAUGUACAGGUAUAAGCAGGCGUUCUUCGAGCCUUUCGCGAAUGUUUUAGCUGAGGUCGGAUUAGCUAGGUGGCGGGUUAAAGGCACACCAAGGCCACGCUCCGUAGCUGGUCUGAGAGGGUGAACAGCCACACUGGCACUGAGACACGGUCCAGACUCCUACGGGAGGCAGCAGUGGGGAAUCUUGCGCAAUGGGCGAGAGCCUGAUAGAGCAACACCGCGUGAGUGAUGAAGGACUUCGGGUUGUAAAGCGCUGUUGUUGGGAAAGAAGAGAAGCACUUUUAUCCGUGGCGGUAUUGACGGUACCGGAGGAAUAAGCCCCGGCUAACUUCGUG